rnacentral:misc_RNA from 1 species
UCCGGUUUGUCACCGGCAGUCUCGCAUGAGUCCCCAACUAAAUGCUGGCAACAUGCGACGGGGGUUGCGCUCGUUGCGGGACUUAACCCAACGUCUCACGACACGAGCUGACGACAGCCAUGCACCACCUGUGAAGAUCCAGCCGAACUGACCCUGUGUUUCCACAGGUAUGAUCUACAUGUCAAGCCCAGGUAAGGUUCUUCGCGUUGCGUCGAAUCAAACCACAUGCUCCGCUGCUUGUGCGGGCCCCCGUCAAUUCCUUUGAGUUUUAGCCUUGCGGCCGUACUCCCCAGGCGGGUCACUUAAUGCGUUAGCUCCGGCACGGAGGGAGUCGACACCCCCCACACCUAGUGACCAUCGUUUACGGUGUGGACUAC